rnacentral:rRNA from 1 species
GAUGAACGCUGGCGGCGUGCCUAAUACAUGCAAGUCGAGCGAACAGACGAGGAGCUUGCUCCUCUGACGUUAGCGGCGCGCGGGUGAGUAACACGUGGAUCACCUACCUAUAAGACUGGGAUAACUUCGGGAAACCGGAGCUAAUACCGUAUAAUAUAUUGAACCGCAUGGUUCAAUAGUGAAAGACGGUUUUGCUGUCGGUGGUAGAUGGAUCCGCGCCGUAUUAGCUUGUUGGUGGGGUCGUGGCAUACCAAGGCAACGAUGGGUAGCCGGCCUGAGAGGGUGACCGGCCACAUUGGGACUGAGAUACGGCCCAGACUCCUACGGGAGGCAGCAGUGGGGAAUAUUGCACAAUGGGCGGAAGCCUGAUGCAGCAACGCCGCGUGCGGGAUGACGGCCUUCGGGUUGUAAACCGCUUGCGCCUGUGACGAAGCGUGAGUGACGGUAAUGGGUAAAGAAGCACCGGCUAACUACGUG